AGACUGAAUAGGAGUAGGGCUGCUCUGGGUGAUACAAUACAGAGUCUGGAGGGAUGGGCACAGUGCCAACCUAGCAUCCCUUCUACCCUCAAGGAAUAGAGGCUGCAAACCAUGGACUGUCUGAUCACUGACAUAGUCCAUGAGUGUCAUGAGGGUGAUGGGGGCCUUAGGUGACAAGCACAUGACCAGAGCUCUCUUUUCUUCACUCCAGCCGGCCAUCCACCAUAUUCCUGGUUUUGAGGUGCAGGAGACAUCGAGGAUCCUGGAUGAGUCUGAGGACACAGACCUGCCCUACCCACCACCCCAGAGGGAGGCCAACAUCUACAUGGUUCCUCAGAACAUCAAGCCAGCGCUCCAGCGUACCGCCAUCGAGCCUCGUGGUAGAGUGUGGGGGCCAGACGGUGCAGUCCUGUGUCAUCAGGAACCUCCGGAAGAACCCCAACUUUGACAUCUGCACCCUCUUCAUGGAAGUGAUGCUGCCCAGGGAGGAGCUCUACUGCCCCCCCAUUACCGUCAAGGUCAUCGAUAACCGCCAGUUUGGCCGCC
rnacentral:sRNA from 1 species